GAGGGGGGACAGGUCCUAUGUUUCUGUAUCUGUUCUUGAUAUCUUAUAGCGUGAGGGGGAAUAAGUCUUGUUCUUGGAGAAGAGGAAGAGGAAGACUCCAACCAGGACUCUCCCUCCCCUGCCACACGGGCCAAGCACGCGCCAUGGCCCAAAGGCUAGCCCAGGCACCUUAGCCUAGAGGUCGGCCCAGGAACAAAAAUAUGGGAUCUUACAUUCUUCCCUUUUUAAAGUAAAAAUUUUGUCUUCGAAAUUAAUAUAUCUCAAGAUUCAAAUUUUGAAAGUGUGCAACUUACAUAUCGUCCUUGACCCUCUCUGUAUGUAUCUAUGUAUAUAUAUAGAUACAUAUCUAUCUAUCUAUAUACAUAGUUAAAACUUCACAAAAUUAUCUUUAGGGUCUUAGUUAAAAUGGAGCAACCAAUGGUGGUAAGCUCUUUUUGCAUUUUUUUUAUAUGAUUAUAGCUCUAAUUUUUAUAUUUUUAGAUUAUGAAAUUAACUUCUAUUUUUUUCACUAUAAAUAAUAUUUGUAUUUGAGAAGCAAAAAAAAAUAUAUUUUUGGAGAAUAUGACAGGAAUUCUAUUUUUCUCAACAUGCACUCACUAAAAAGAGGUGAACCAACUGGCAAUUCCAAAUUCACGUGAUACAUAUCCAAACAUUAGGAUUAGGACUCCUCACCUAAACCCAUCUAACUUUACUACAGGAUGAGACUCCCAACCAAAACCUAUCCGAUUUUUUUUGUUUCGAUUUAUAGAAUAAAUACUACAUGAUGAGACUCCUCACAGGAGGGGGAGUUAUUCUCACAUAAUUUUAGAAACAGGAGAAACAAUAAUUGGUGCGAUGGAAACACCUUACUAAGAUCCAAGAAAUUCAUAGAAUCCAUUUAUUGGAGUAGUAAUACAUAAUCUUAAAAAAAAGCGUACUUUCCAUUACUUCCUGGUUGCCACGUCUAAAUCUUAAAAUUAAGGUAGAGUUUAAAUGGAAGCAAUUUUUAUAGGAGUUAAAAUAUCAUUUGGAGGUAAAAAAAACAAAAAACAAAACAAAUAUCAGUCGAUAGUUUCUUUUGGUGGGUUAAGAACGAGAUCUAGACCGACCCACUCAACUUGUCCCCAACUGAACUGGGCUGAAAGCCCAUAAACCCACCCCAUAUUUGUUGCCUUCAAGGAUCA
rnacentral:lncRNA from 1 species